CCCGGCCCCAUCCCCGUCCCCGGCCCCAUCCCCGACACCCCGGCCCCGCCCGGCCUGGGCACUGCUCCGCUUGCCAGCGGGACGCCGCCGCGCUGGGACGGCACCGGGCACCGCGCCGGUAAUCCCAGGCGUCCCAUCGCUAUCAAGAACCUCAUUAGCGGCAAAGUGAAGCCAACAGCAUGUCAGCACCCCCACUGCAUCCCCACGAGUGUCACCGGUGGAAGCCUUGGCCCCGCCUGGGGGUAUCCCGGUGUUUCCCCACGCUGGCAGAGGGCCCUGCCUCUCCCACCGACCCAGCGUUGCUGCUCCCUGUGCCACCGUUUUGGUGGCCUUUGGCAGAGGCACCUCUGGUAGCAGAGGACAGUUUCCAGCUGUGCCCUUCAUUUCCCACCUGCUGGUUAAAGAUGCCCUCCAGUUUUUCUCCCCUGUCUGGCAGGAGCGUUUUGUGCCGCCCUGGAGCAGCACAGGCCAGGGAAGGUUCACUGUUUUGGGGAUGAGUUGCUUUACUGAGUGGUGGAACAACCGAGUGAGAGGACGAGAAAUGCUCGAGUUCACCGGGUGUGCGGCAAAGCCUCGCUGUGCCCAUCCCAGCACCAGGCUGCCAGGACAUGUAGCCAGAGCACACCUCCUCAGUGCUGCUGGGCUGUGUCCACAGGUACCCUCAGGAUGUGGCUCCAGCAGAACUGUCCCUGCUCAGGCACCGAAACAUCCAGGGACAGGCAGGCAGCCCCUUCCCUGCAGACCCCACAGAGGAGCUGGAGCGCACUGAGAGCUGCCGGCACCGGGGUCACCAGCACUGAUCCAGACCAAAGUCUUGUUCAUGGUCUCCAAGGAAUCUUGGAGCCAAAGGGGCCAUGACAGAAGCGCCAUGAAAUGUUUUUUAAAGCCAGACACCUAAUGAGCACAGGACUUCCAACAGAAUGAAAUAAUUGAAAUGAGUCCAAAGAAUCAGCCUGGCUUGUCUGGAUCACACCCCCCUUUGACCCUCACUCUAUCCCAGCCCACGGAGCAACCUUUGGAUGGCACAAAAUUGCAUCAGACCCCGGCUUUUAAACAGAGUAAUUGUGCUGAGGUCAGAGAGAUAAUCCUGAUUUACAACGGAGUUAAUAUUUACGCAGGCACUGGUGACAAAAGAAGCUUGCAGCUCUUCAUCUCCAAUUUUGGAGCCCUCUGGGUACUCCAAGCAAAGGCUACAACCAAGUGAGCAGAAAAGUCACCUUGAUGCUAUUGGGGGACAUCGUCAAGGGUGGCCCUGGACACUGCGUUUGCCUUUCUUUCCCUCUUCCAUUGCCAUUAGGAGCUGGGGGUCAGGAAUCAUAGCCUGUGCCAAAGGAGCAAGAGGAGCACAGAGAGGGCAGAGCAGGCAGGAGCACAGCCUCAGUGCUGCCUGUGGGAUGUAACAGAGGAAUGGGCUCCGAUGGCGUUGUCCACCCUCACAAGGAUGUACCCUGGCAGCCGUGGAGGGUUCGUCGGACCAGACCCAGGCUCAGCUCAUCUCUUUAUGAUUUUGCUUUCUCGGCGGCAGUGCCCCGUGGCUCAGCUCUUCCCCGGGAUGAUGAUGCACCCCCGUGUCUUCUCUGGCUGCAAAACCCGGUGCUGGCUGCGGACUCAUCCGUGCCUUCGGGCAACAGGUCUGGCUGCCAAGGAACAGUGAGCAGCUCCCGAAACACGCAGAGUAAAUAAAUACCUGGUGCCGAGAGAUAAAA